rnacentral:rRNA from 1 species
ACUCCUACGGGAGGCAGCAGUAGGGAAUCUUCCACAAUGGGCGAAAGCCUGAUGGAGCAACGCCGCGUGGGUGAAGAAGGUCUUCGGAUCGUAAAACCCUGUUGUUAGAGAAGAAAGUGCGUGAGAGUAACUGUUCACGUUUCGACGGUAACUAACCAGAAAGCCACGGCUAACUACGUGCCAGCAGCCGCGGUAAUACGUAGGUUGCAAGCGUUAUCCUGAUUUAUUGGGCGUAAAGGGAACGCAGGCUGUCUUUUAGGUCUGAUGUGUAAGCCU